rnacentral:rRNA from 1 species
UACGGAGGGGGCAAGCGUUGUUCGGAAUCAUUGGGCGUAAAGGGCGCGUAGGCGGCCGGCCAAGUCGGGUGUGAAAUCCCUCGGCUCAACCGAGGAACUGCACUCGAUACUGGUUGGCUCGAGUCCGGGAGGGGAUGGUGGAAUUCCCAGUGUAGCGGUGAAAUGCGUAGAUAUUGGGAAGAACACCGGUGGCGAAGGCGGCUCACUGGACCGGCAUUGACGCUGAGGUGCGAAAGCGUGGGGAGCAAACAGG